AAGCCAGAAUGAUUUAACUAUGGAAUGAAGGGUAUUUUAUGUUGGAUGUGGACAAUCUUUCAAUGCGGGAAGUUAUUGAGGGUAGUCCACUAGUGGGAGGUACAAUCCUCGUUGAUUAAUUUUAGUUACGUGUCCUAACCAGCCUUUCUAAAAUUAUUUACAAAAUAUUUCAAGACCAGGACCUAUGCAAUAUCCAAGACCAAUGCCACAAUAUUCAGGUUCUCCUUAAUGGCCACAAACUUUGUCAAGGCAGUCUUAUUAUUGACCGGAUUUAUCAAGGAACAAUUAUUGACCUGAUUUCUUACAAAAUCAUUAUCGACCUUAGUCUUAUUAAAACAUAGAGUUCAAAAAUUCAAAUAUCAGUGAAAUAAAAAAAAAAAAUCUUCAUGUAAUAAUUAUGGAAUUCUUGGCCUUUGGUUGCAAGCUUGUUCUCAAAGUUCUAAAAGAAAUAUAUCCAAAC
rnacentral:lncRNA from 1 species